rnacentral:rRNA from 1 species
GAUGAACGGUGGCGGCGUGCCUAAUACAUGCAAGUCGAGCGAAGAGAUGAGGAGCUUGCUCCUCUGACGUUAGCGGCGGACGGGUGAGUAACACGUGGAUAACCUAGCUAUAAGACUGGGAUAAAUUCGGGAAACCGGAGCGAAUACCGGAUAAUAUAUUGAACCGCAUGGUUCAAUAAUGAAAGACGGUUUUGCUGUCACUUAUAGAUGGAUCCGCGCCGCAUUAGAUAGUUGGUAAGGUAACGGCUUACCAAGGCAACGAUGCGUAGCCGACCUGAAAGGGUGAACGGCCACACUGGAACUGAGACACAGUCCAGACUCCUACGGGAGGCAGCAGUAGUUACUCUUCCGCAAUGGGCGAAAGCCUGACGACGCAACGCCGCGUGAGUUAUGAUGGUCUUCGUAUCGUAUAACUCUGUUAUUAGCGAAGAACAAAUGUGUAAUUAACUAUGCACCUCUUCACGGUACCUAAACAGAAGGCCACGGCUAACUACGUG